rnacentral:lncRNA from 1 species
GGUAUAAAUUUAUAUAAAAUUGACUCUAGAAUGAGGAACAUGUCCCAGUCUAUAAUUCAAAAGGUAAACUAGUGACAACAGUAUAGCCAGGUACAUAGUCAUUACUCAUGACUUUAUUACAUCCAAUAUGUACAAGCAUAGAAGUAUCCAAAUGGGACUAAUAAGGUCCUAAUGUUGCAGAGUAAGCAGUGCGUGAGAGACCAUUGCUUGAAGGAGUACUCCGCUAGAAGUGGUACAAGCCAUCUUCAAGUUUCUCACUCUAAUCAUUGUCUAUGUAGAGAGGUCUUGGAUGAAGCAGCAAUUGAAGAUAAAUGUUAAGUAGUAAUAACAAGAAAAAAUGAGUUUCCUAGCAGAAAUCAAAUUACAUUUGAAAGAAGGAACACAUAAGCACAUUCGUUAAGGUAAGGGUUUUAGAUAACUUCACCAUUCAUAUAUGAGUCACAAGAGCAAUAUCUCCAUUAUGAAGUUUAACAAUGGUAUUUACUACAGUAGUAAUGGUGAGUAAUAGAACAGAUCAUGUGAUCU